rnacentral:misc_RNA from 1 species
UACAGAGGGUGCAAGCGUUGUUCGGAAUUACUGGGCGUAAAGGGCUCGUAGGCGGCCAGCUAAGUCGGAUGUGAAACCCCCAGGCUCAACCUGGGAACUGCAUCCGAUACUGGAUGGCUUGAAUUCGGGAGAGGGAUGCAGAAUUCCAGGUGUAGCGGUGAAAUGCGUAGAUAUCUGGAGGAAUACCGGUGGCGAAGGCGGCAUCCUGGACCGACAUUGACGCUGAGGAGCGAAAGCUAGGGGAGCAAACGGG